GCAUCUCCUGUUUAAAACUCCCUUACCUUGCCAUGAAACUGAGCCCCUGAAAGUGGCCAUGUGCUGCUCUAAUUCUGGACACUGACUGUAUGACAUUGUGAUGCAACCUGGUUUUCUUGCUUCAGAGCUUCUUUUGGGAAACUGUUUAUGACAAAGAUCAAGCAUGCGUGCAUACCAUCUCUGGCUCAAAGAAUGAAAUACAAAUCUUACCAGUCACCACCACAGUGCUGGAAUUUGAAUCCAUGAUAUCUAUGCUCCAGAAGGUGGAAUCUUCUUGUCUUUCAGUUCCAAACAGUACUAUAAUUCAGGCAACAUGUUAGAAAAAUCUCACUCCAACUCGCAAGGUCAGAGGAACUCUAGAAGCUGGGUUAUAGCUUGCUGAAACUGG